rnacentral:rRNA from 1 species
CAGUAGCCACGGGAAUACGAAGGGUGCAAGCGUUACUCGGAAUUACUGGGCGUAAAGCGUGCGUAGGUGGUGGUUUAAGUCCGUUGUGAAAGCCCUGGGCUCAACCUGGGAAUUGCAGUGGAUACUGGGUCACUAGAGUGUGGUAGAGGAUGGUGGAAUUCCCGGUGUAGCGGUGAAAUGCGUAGAGAUCGGGAGGAACAUCAGUGGCGAAGGCGGCCAUCUGGGACAACACUGACGCUGAGGCACGAAAGCGUGGGGAGCAAACAGGAUUAGAUACCCCCGUAGUCCCUGUCUCUUAUAC